GCAAAAGAGAAAAAAAGGGGUGGUGGUUGUUUGGUUGCAAACCCUAAAAGAAAACAGAAAUCUAGUGAGAGGGGGUUGAAUCUGCAGAAAAAUGGGUAUGCGGUGGGUUGUCGGUGAUAAUGAGCGUGAAGUGAGUUUGAAUGUUGAAAACUGAAGAUUGGGAAUCCAGUCAUUGCGAAGAAUAGGUAAACAAAAAAGAAAAGGGGAGGGGGCAAGGGACGGACACCAAAGAGAGACUGACAGAAGAGAGUGAGCACUCGCUGCUGGGAAUUGUAUGAGAUGGGCAUACAAUUAAGCAGUGAGUGCUCACUUCUCUUUUUGUCAGGUUCCAUUUCUUUUUGACUGUGUUUCCUCACCUUCCUCCACUCUUUCUUACUUUUUCUUCCUCCACACCAAAAUCCAUCCCCACCCCCUUUGCGAAUUUGCUUCUUCUUUAUUCUUCUUCUCUCUUAAUUUAUUAUUAUUAGUCUUAGAUGUUGUCAACUAGUUGUUCCCAGCUUCCUGAUGUCUUUCUAAAAUGAAAAAGAAAACCCUAAAAUAAAUAAAUAAAGUUUAAGAAUAAAAAAAUUAAUUAUCUAAAUCCAUCGGGAUAAAUAAAUUUAAUAAAUAUUUUGACGUCACUGUUAAUAAAAUAUUAUUGUUCAGAUUCCUAACCAUUCACCAAAACACAGACCUUUCUAAUUUUACCCUCAGACUCUGUUUUAACACUUUUAAUCCGACCCAUUUUCUCCACAGAUUUGGCAAACUUAGCGAAAGAAAUCAUGAACUGAACCUUUAAGCAGUUGUUCGAUAAAAGACCGUAAAAGUGUGUGUAUCCCAUUGGAAAACAUCUCUUGGCUUGAGUAGAUCGGUGCAGUAGCUGAGGUCAAACGUACACCACGGCUUCCUGUGUCCAUCCAAACUUUUUUUGCACCUAAAGCAUCAAUUUAGUAACAGAUAAAGAAUGUUGUUUCUGUUUCUAUAAACAGUAUGAAUCUGUAAAGCAAUGGAUAAAGUGUGGAUUGAAUUAGCUUUACCGGUCCUUUUAGGUUAGACCAAGUCCUUUUACAUCAUUAUUAGCAAAUGGAGCUGGUAUGGCUCUGGUUUCUGAUAUUCUUGAGAUUAUUCCAUCUCUAGUACCAUUGACGUUAAUCUCAAAAUCGGAAACCCUAAAAAGUUAAAUGCACUAGAAACCUAAAUCAACUGGAAAAUUUGGUGUGUUAUAUAACCAAAGCAUUAAUUUAACGAAACGCUAAAUAAAUUCAGACUCAAAACCAGAGACCCCAUGAACCGAAACCCAGAAACCUUAAAAACCGUAAAGAAAUAUAAGACCUAAAAAUCACCUUAAAAACCGUAAAGAAAUAUAAAAGACCUAAAAAUCAAACUUAAACCCAGAAACCUUAAAUACUGUAAACAAAUAUGAAAGACCUAAAAAUCAAACUCCAUUCAGAAACCCCAUAAACACAAAGCCGGAAACCUUAAAAACUGUAGACAAAUAUCAAAAACUAAAAAUCAAACUCAAACCCAGAUCUGUCCAAAAUAAUAAUAAUAAUAGGAAGGCAUCCAGAUCAGUUCAAAAUAAAAAUAAAAAAAUAAAAAAACUCAAACCCAGAAACCCAGAUCAGUACCAAAACAAAGAGGAAAAAACAACUCAAAUCCAUCAACCCCAGAUAAAUUCAGCGCGCUAGAAGCCCCUAAAUCAAGUAAUAAUCGAAAAUUUUGUGUAAUAUAAACGUAUGAAGUAAAACCCCUAAAUUAAUUAAACCAAAAAAUUAACCCUAAACAACAAAAAAAUUAAAUAAAUAAAAACCCUAAUUUCGUCCCAAAAUGUCCUGUGCUUUCAAAACGAAGCCCGACAAAAAGCCCUAAAACAAACAAGAAGUUGGCAUAAAAACCUCAUUCAAUGUCUAGCGAAUUCGCAGAGUCCUCGUUGCUCAAGAACGUUGCUGGGUUUGCAAAUUUGUUAAGAGGUUGCGUGUGGUUAUAUGACAAUUGCUGUUUCCAAGCUGCUUUGGAAGGAAGAGUUGUUGACGCCAAAUCAAUGGAACCAAAAUCCAACUGUUUUCUUUCUUCACUCAUAUGGAAUCCAUCAGAACCCUGACGCCGAAGGACAGGUUGAGGGUGGAGAAAACGAAAAAGCCUUGGGGGAUUUCUGGAGGCUCAAAACUGACAUAUCCUCUCG